rnacentral:lncRNA from 1 species
UAUCUAUCUAAGUUAACCAAUAGUUGUAAAUUCCGUAAAGCAGUAUCAUCUUGGUUAAUUGGGUGUUACCACCAAAGGGUGUGUACACUCACUUCGAAGGAAAGAGGAGCAUCAAUAAGAGAGCCAGCUGGCUUAGCACUAGCAACGGCCUCAUUAGUAGGAAUAAUUGGAGGAUUUGCAAGCCGGGAAAGUUUGACAGAAGUGGACGAAUUAUCUAAAGCCUCAACAGCCAAUAGAAUAUAUCUUCGAAAGACAGGAUGUCCCCGGCAUCAUUUUCACGAGCCUCCAAGAAAUUCAUGUUACAGUUAGGAAGAAAUUCCUAAUAAUUUCAAGAACCUUAUUACCUCUUCUUACAUGACCUCCUCAAUAAGCUUCACCUCAUUAGCCUUCGCCUCAGAAAGACCAAACUUCGCAAGGGCUAAUUCGAUCUUGGUGCUUUCCAGCUGGUUAUAAAGUAAUGCCUUUUCAUUCCCUACCUUGUUAAGAUCCUGGAGAUAGCAUUUUAAUCGGCCUUAAUUGAUUGAAGUACGUCUCUGAGGCGCAAAAUAUUGCUAUCAAUUUUGGUGACAUAGGCUGUAUGUUGCCAAUUAUUUGGAGACCUUUUAACACCUACCAUCAAGAAAGCCUCCCUUGUCGUAAAGACCUCAACGUCCCUGCCCAUCUUCCUGAUCUUUUUCUUCUCUUUCUCAGCCUCCCCCAACCUUUUCUGAAGAGUUUCGCACCUUUACUCCAAAGAAUCAACUUUCUUCUCUAGUUUGUCAGCUUGUAAAACACAAGCCUUAUAAUCCUUUUGUUUGUCAUGAUAAAGUAUAGUAGCUCGAGAAAGAUGAGCGUUGCUAAGAGGGUAAGCCCUU